GUGUCAGCAGCCGCGGUAAUACGAAGGUCCCAAGCGUUAUCCGGAUUUAUUGGGUUUAAAGGGUGCGUAGGCGGACUAUUAAGUCAGUGGUGAAAGCCCCAAGCUUAACUUGGGAACUGCCAUUGAUACUGAUGGUCUUGAGUACAUUUGAGGUGGGCGGAAUGUGUCAUGUAGCGGUGAAAUGCUUAGAUAUGACACAGAACACCGAUUGCGAAGGCAGCUCACUAAACUGUAACUGACGCUGAGGCACGAAAGCGUGGGGAGCAAACAGGAUUAGAUACCCUGGUAGUCCACGCCCUAAACGAUGAUCACUCGAUGUGUGCGAUAUACUGUACGCGUCUGAGCGAAAGCAUUAAGUGAUCCACCUGGGGAGUACGACCGCAAGGUUGAA
rnacentral:rRNA from 1 species